rnacentral:rRNA from 1 species
AUUGAACGCUGGCGGCAUGCCUUACACAUGCAAGUCGAACGGCAGCACGGGAGCAAUCCUGGUGGCGAGUGGCGAACGGGUGAGUAAAGUAUCGGAACGUGCCCAGUCGUGGGGGAUAACGUAGCGAAAGUUACGCUAAUACCGCAUACGAUCUAUGGAUGAAAGCGGGGGAUCGCAAGACCUCGCGCGAUUGGAGCGGCCGAUAUCAGAUUAGGUAGUUGGUGGGGUAAAGGCUCACCAAGCCGACGAUCUGUAGCUGGUCUGAGAGGACGACCAGCCACACUGGAACUGAGACACGGUCCAGACUCCUACGGGAGGCAGCAGCGGGGAAUUUUGGACAAUGGGCGAAAGCCUGAUCCAGCAAUGCCGCGUGCAGGACGAAGGCCUUCGGGUUGUAAACUGCUUUUGUACGGAACGAAACGGUCUCUUCUAAUAAAGGGGGCUAAUGACGGUACCGUAAGAAUAAGCACCGGCUAACUACGUGCCAGCAGCCGCCGUAA